AUUCAGCUGACGAGUCCCAAAUAGGACGAAAAGCGCGUCCUGGAU
rnacentral:hammerhead_ribozyme from 1 species